UACACGACAGACUUGCUAAUUCUAAACAGAAGGCUAUUGUUUAAUAGUGGUGAACCGGUUGCUUCCAUUAGUCAUGAAACAUAUUGCGGUUGGCGCACUAUAUCGUGGAUGCUUUGCAGCCAUAUUCAUUUCACUUUUCUACUGCUCUGUCGAAUCUACCAACAAAGAUCUCGACUUCAUAAAGGUACUUAACACAACUGAGCCCCUCUUCAUCUACUACGUUGGCGCCGCCCUCCGUGGUGGGAACUGCAAGCAGGCUACAUGCAACACAACACGUUUGCUCUGCCUAUAUAUGCGUAAAACUGCAAUUAGCAAUACCUCAGUCCAAUACAACGAGUCAUCAUCACUGGCAGGCUCAAACUGCUUUCGCUAAACGCAUUCAACCAGAAAGUGAAAAUUACACAGAUGAGAGAGGAAACACUUCAGUCAUAUAUGCAUAUUCAAGAAUUGAAACUGU